UGGUUUGCUUACUGGCUUUGCUUACCGUCUAGAACAGCCUGUACCGAAUUUAAGGAACAAAAAGCCGCAGAACAUAACAGAGCUGUGCCUUGAGAAGAGGAAGUGGGCAGUUCUACGUAGGCUCAUGGAAGAAAGGAAAGGUCGGGCUUUCAGGGACCAUUGGAAAGGCUACUGCCUCACACGUCUGAGGUAGCAGGAUGGAUAUAAAAAGAAAGAAACAAGAGACAAAAAUGGAAGUAUAAUUAUGUAAAGAUGACAACAGGCCUAAUUUUGUGGUCUUUCCUCUACUGAUCUCCAGCAGGUAACAGGGCGAUUAGGAAGAUAAAAGGCAUCUGUAGCAAUCUUCAGAUGACCUUACACAGGCAUCCCGACAAUAUCCAGAGAAAGAAGGAACAUGUCUGACUGCUGGUUCCACUGAGCACACCAAGAGACAGCCAGUACACGGAAGAAGCCAGUAAAUUUACUGGCCAAACUUUCAUCAAUGAUAAAAUGCGAUUAAUAGAAUAAAAAGAGCAUGGAAAUAAA